rnacentral:rRNA from 1 species
GAUGAACGCUGACAGAAUGCUUAACACAUGCAAGUCUACUUGAAUUUGGGUUUUUAACUUAGGUUUGGGUGGCGGACGGGUGAGUAACGCGUAAAGAACUUGCCUCACAGCUAGGGACAACAUUUAGAAAUGAAUGCUAAUACCUAAUAUUAUGAUAAUAGGGCAUCCUAUAAUUAUGAAAGCUAUAAGCGCUGUGAGAGAGCUUUGCGUCCCAUUAGCUAGUUGGAGAGGUAACGGCUCACCAAGGCGAUGAUGGGUAGCCGGCCUGAGAGGGUGAUCGGCCACAAGGGGACUGAGACACGGCCCUUACUCCUACGGGAGGCAGCAGUGGGGAAUAUUGGACAAUGGACCGGGAGUCUGAUCCAGCAAUUCUGUGUGCACGAUGAAGUUUUUCGGAAUGUAAAGUGCUUUCAGUUGGGAAGAAAGAAAUGACGGUACCAACAGAAGAAGUGACGGCUAAAUACGUGCCAGCAGCCGCGGUAAUACGUAUGUCACGAGCGUUAUCCGGAUUUAUUGGGCGUAAAGCGCGUCUAGGUGGUUAUAUAAGUCUGAUGUGAAAAUGCAGGGCUCAACUCUGUAUUGCGUUGGAAACUGUAUAACUAGAGUACUGGAGAGGUAAGCGGAACUACAAGUGUAGAGGUGAAAUUCGUAGAUAUUUGUAGGAAUGCCGAUGGGGAAGCCAGCUUACUGGACAGAUACUGACGCUGAAGCGCGAAAGCGUGGGUAGCAAACAGG